rnacentral:rRNA from 1 species
AACGAACGCUGGCGGCAGGCUUAACACAUGCAAGUCGAGCGGAGAUGAGGUGCUUGCACCUUAUCUUAGCGGCGGACGGGUGAGUAAUGCUUAGGAAUCUGCCUAUUAGUGGGGGACAACAUUCCGAAAGGAAUGCUAAUACCGCAUACGCCCUACGGGGGAAAGCAGGGGAUCUUCGGAACUUGCGCUAAUAGAUGAGCCUAAGUCGGAGUAGCUAGUUGGUGGGGUAAAGGCCUACCAAGGCGACGAUCUGUAGCGGGUCUGAGAGGAUGAUCCGCCACACUGGGACUGAGACACGGCCCAGACUCCUACGGGAGGCAGCAGUGGGGAAUAUUGGACAAUGGGCGGAAGCCUGAUCCAGCCAUGCCGCGUGUGUGAAGAAGGCCUUUUGGUUGUAAAGCACUUUAAGCGAGGAGGAGGCUACCUGGAUUAAUACUCUAGGAUAGUGGACGUUACUCGCAGAAUAAGCACCGGCUAACUCUGUGCCAGCCGCCGCAUAAUAC